GACGAACGCUGGCGGCGUGCUUAACACAUGCAAGUCGAACGGAAAGGCCCUGCUUGCAGGGUACUCGAGUGGCGAACGGGUGAGUAACACGUGGGUGAUCUGCCCUGCACUUCGGGAUAAGCCUGGGAAACUGGGUCUAAUACCGGAUAGGAGCCAUUUUUAGUGUGAUGGUUGGAAAGUUUUUUCGGUGUAGGAUGAGCUCGCGGCCUAUCAGCUUGUUGGUGGGGUAAUGGCCUACCAAGGCGGCGACGGGUAGCCGGCCUGAGAGGGUGGACGGCCACAUUGGGACUGAGAGACGGCCCAGACUCCUACGGGAGGAAGCAGUGGGGAAUAUUGCACAAUGGGCGCAAGCCUGAUGCAGCGACGCCGCGUGGGGGAUGACGGCCUUCGGGUUGUAAACUCCUUUCGCUAGGGACGAAGCUUUUUGUGACGGUACCUAGAUAAGAAGCACCGGCUAACUACGUG
rnacentral:rRNA from 1 species